rnacentral:rRNA from 1 species
CGUUAGCGGCGGACGGGUGAGUAACACGUGGAUAACCUACCUAUAAGACUGGGAUAACUUCGGGAAACCGGAGCUAAUACCGGAUAAUAUAUUGAACCGCAUGGUUCAAUAGUGAAAGACGGUUUUGCUGUCACUUAUAGAUGGAUCCGCGCCGCAUUAGCUAGUUGGUAAGGUAACGGCUUACCAAGGCAACGACGCGUAGCCGACCUGAGAGGGUGAUCGGCCACACUGGAACUGAGACACGGUCCAG